GUGGGGAAUCUUCCGCAAUGGACGAAAGUCUGACGGAGCAACGCCGCGUGAGUGAUGAAGGUCUUCGGAUUGUAAAGCUCUGUUAAUCGGGACGAAAGAGCCUAGUGUGAAUAAUGCUAGGAAGUGACGGUACCGGAAUAGAAAGCCACGGCUAACUACGUGCCAGCAGCCGCGGUAAUACGUAGGUGGCAAGCGUUGUCCGGAAUUAUUGGGCGUAAAGCGCGCGCAGGCGGAUCUGCCAGUCUGUCUUAAAAGUGCGGGGCUUAACCCCGUGAUGGGAUGGAAACUACAGAUCUAGAGUAUCGGAGAGGAAAGUGGAAUUCCUAGUGUAGCGGUGAAAUGCGUAGAUAUUAGGAAGAACACCAGUGGCGAAGGCGACUUUCUGGACGAAAACUGACGCUGAGGCGCGAAAGCCAGGGGAGCGAACGGGAUUAGAUACCCUGGUAGUCC
rnacentral:rRNA from 1 species